rnacentral:rRNA from 1 species
CGAGACCUUAACCUGCUAAAUAGCCCGUAUUGCUUUGGCAGUACGCCGGCUUCUUAGAGGGACUAUCGGCUCAAGCCGAUGGAAGUUUGAGGCAAUAACAGGUUAACCGUCACAGGCCUGUAAUAGUAGAGCCUUAUAAUCUGCUAGUUGCUGUCUUUACCUCUCUGAGGGGAGCCCCUCGAUAUCGGGGAGAGGAGCUGGGCUGCGGCCCGGCUAUGACAGCAGCGACAAUACCUGGUACAGGGUACGCC